rnacentral:rRNA from 1 species
GAUGAACGCUGGCGGCGGGCCUAAGACAUGCAAGUCGAACGGACAGGCGAGGAGCUGGCGCCACUGACGAAAGCGGCUGACGGGAGAGGGACACGUGGAGAAGCCCCCGAUGAUACUGAGAUAAAGAGGGGAAACGGGAGCUAAGACCGUAUAAUAUAUUGAACAACAUGGGUCAAUAGACAAUGACGGAAUUGAGGGCAAGUCGAGAGGGAUCCGCGCGGCAUUAGCUAGUUGGUAAGGGAACGGCUUAGCAAGGCAACGAUGCGUAGCCGACCUGAGAGGGUGAUCGGCCACACUGGAACUGAGACACGGUCCACACUCCUACGGGAGGCCGCAGUAGGGAAUCUUCCGCAAUGGGCGAAAGCCUGACGGAGCAACGCCGCGUGAGUGAUGAAGGUCUUCGGAUCGUAAAACUCUGUUAUUAGGGAAGAACAAAUGUGUAAGUAACUAUGCACCUAUUGACGGUACCUAAUCAGAAAGCCACGGCUAACUACGUG